UACGAAGGGGGCUAGCGUUGCUCGGAAUUACUGGGCGUAAAGGGCGCGUAGGCGGCCAGUUUAGUCAGAGGUGAAAGCCCAGGGCUCAACCUUGGAAUUGCCUUUGAUACUGGCUGUCUUGAGUUCGGGAGAGGUGAGUGGAAUGCCGAGUGUAGAGGUGAAAUGCGUAGAUAUCGGGAGGAACACCUGAGGCGAAGGCGGGCUACUGGGCCGAUACUGACGCUGAUGCGCGAAAGCCAGGGGAGCAAACGGG
rnacentral:rRNA from 1 species